rnacentral:misc_RNA from 1 species
AGCUUGGUUGGGUUGUAGUUACCCGACGCAAACUUUUUCAUCACCUGUGCACUGUUUGUAGACUUGGGUCAGGAAAGCUUGGUUUUGCAUAAUCUGGUUUUCCUUACAUUUUCUGGUCUACGUAUUUUUAUUACACGCUCAGUCUGUCUUGGAAUGUUAUUUAGCGGGCUUCAUUGCCUUUAAAUCUUGUA